rnacentral:rRNA from 1 species
AGAGUUUGAUCCUGGCUCAGGAUGAACGCUAGCGACAGGCCUAACACAUGCAAGUCGAGGGGCAGCGGAGAGGUAGCAAUACCUUUGCCGGCGACCGGCGCACGGGUGAGUAACACGUAUGCAAUCCACCUGUAACAGGGGGAUAACCCGGAGAAAUCCGGACUAAUACCCCAUAAUAUGGGCGCUCCGCAUGGAGAGCCCAUUAAAGAGAGCAAUUUUGGUUACAGACGAGCAUGCGCUCCAUUAGCCAGUUGGCGGGGUAACGGCCCACCAAGGCGACGAUGGAUAGGGGUUCUGAGAGGAAGGUCCCCCACAUUGGAACUGAGACACGGUCCAAACUCCUACGGGAGGCAGCAGUGAGGAAUAUUGGUCAAUGGUCGGCAGACUGAACCAGCCAAGUCGCGUGAGGGAAGACGGCCCUACGGGUUGUAAACCUCUUUUGUCGGAGAGUAAAGUACGCUACGCGUAGCGUAUUGCAAGUAUCCGAAGAAAAAGCAUCGGCUAACUCCGUGCCAGCAGCCGCGGUAAUACGGAGGAUGCGAGCGUUAUCCGGAUUUAUUGGGUUUAAAGGGUGCGUAGGCGGCACGCCAAGUCAGCGGUGAAAUUUCCGGGCUCAACCCGGAGUGUGCCGUUGAAACUGGCGAGCUAGAGUGCACAAGAGGCAGGCGGAAUGCGUGGUGUAGCGGUGAAAUGCAUAGAUAUCACGCAGAACCCCGAUUGCGAAGGCAGCCUGCUAGGGUGCGACAGACGCUGAGGCACGAAAGCGUGGGUAUCGAACAGGAUUAGAUACCCUGGUAGUCCACGCAGUAAACGAUGAAUACUAACUGUUUGCGAUACAAUGUAAGCGGUACAGCGAAAGCGUUAAGUAUUCCACCUGGGGAGUACGCCGGCAACGGUGAAACUCAAAGGAAUUGACGGGGGCCCGCACAAGCGGAGGAACAUGUGGUUUAAUUCGAUGAUACGCGAGGAACCUUACCCGGGCUUGAAUUGCAACUGAAUGAUGUGGAGACAUGUCAGCCGCAAGGCAGUUGUGAAGGUGCUGCAUGGUUGUCGUCAGCUCGUGCCGUGAGGUGUCGGCUUAAGUGCCAUAACGAGCGCAACCCCUAUCGACAGUUACUAACGGGUGAAGCCGAGGACUCUGUCGAGACUGCCGGCGCAAGCCGCGAGGAAGGUGGGGAUGACGUCAAAUCAGCACGGCCCUUACGUCCGGGGCGACACACGUGUUACAAUGGCAGGUACAGAAGGCAGCCAGUCAGCAAUGACGCGCGAAUCCCGAAAACCUGUCUCAGUUCGGAUUGGAGUCUGCAACCCGACUCCAUGAAGCUGGAUUCGCUAGUAAUCGCGCAUCAGCCAUGGCGCGGUGAAUACGUUCCCGGGCCUUGUACACACCGCCCGUCAAGCCAUGGGAGCCGGGGGUACCUGAAGUGCGUAACCGCAAGGAGCGCCCUAGGGUAAAACUGGUGACUGGGGCUAAGUCGUAACAAGGUAGCCGUACCGGAAGGUGCGGCUG